rnacentral:rRNA from 1 species
CCUACGGGUGGCAGCAGUGAGGAAUAUUGGUCCAUGGGCGGAAGCCUGAACCAGCCAAGUAGCGUGCAGGAUGACGGCCCUACGGGUUGUAAACUGCUUUUAUACGGGAAUAACGCGCCUUACGUGUAGGGCUUUGCAUGUACCGUAUGAAUAAGGACCGGCUAAUUCCGUGCCAGCAGCCGCGGUAAUACGGAAGGUACGGGCGUUAUCCGGAUUUAUUGGGUUGAAAGGGAGCGUAGGCCGCAUGUCAAGCGUGCUGUGAAAUGUCCGGGCUCAACCCGGGCCGUGCAGCGCGAACGUGCGUGCUUGAGUCCGCGGAAAGCAAGCGGAAUU